rnacentral:rRNA from 1 species
AUGCCUCAGUACGGCGAGUGAAGCGGCAAAAGCUCAAAUUUGAAAUCUGGCACUUUCAGUGUCCGAGUUGUAAUUUGUAGAAGUAGUUUUGGGACUGGUCCUUAUCUAUGUUUCUUGGAACAGGACGUCAUAGAGGGUGAGAACCCCGUAUGAUGAGGCCCCCAGUCCUUUGUAAAACGCUUUCGAAGAGUCGAGUUGUUUGGGAAUGCAGCUCUAAGUGGGUGGUAAAUUCCAUCUAAAGCUAAAUAUUGGCGAGAGACCGAUAGCGAACAAGUACAGUGAUGGAAAGAUGAAAAGAACUUUGAAAAGAGAGUGAAAAAGUACGUGAAAUUGUUGAAAGGGAAGGGCAUUUGAUCAGACAUGGUGUUUUGCGCCCUUUGCUCCUUGUGGGCGGAGGAUACGCAGCUCACUGGGCCAACAUCAGUUUUGGGAGCAGGAUAAAUCUGUAGGAACGUAGCUUUCUUCGGGAAGUGUUAUAGCCUAUGGGAAUACUGCUACCUGGGACUGAGGACUGCGUCUUUUGACAAGGAUGUUGGCAUAAUGGUUAAAUGCCGCCCGUCUUGA